rnacentral:rRNA from 1 species
GGGUUGUGAGGUUAAGCGACUAAGCGUACACGGUGGAUGCCCUGGCAGUCAGAGGCGAUGAAGGGCGUGCUAAUCUGCGAUAAGCGCCGGUAAGGUGAUAUGAACCGUUAUAACCGGCGAUACCCGAAUGGGGAAACCCAGUGUGAUUCGUCACACUAUCAUUAACUGAAUCCAUAGGUUAAUGAGGCGAACCGGGGGAACUGAAACAUCUAAGUACCCCGAGGAAAAGAAAUCAACCGAGAUUCCCCCAGUAGCGGCGAGCGAACGGGGAGGAGCCCAGAGCCUGAAUCAGCAUGUGUGUUAGUGGAAGCGUCUGGAAAGGCGCGCGAUACAGGGUGACAGCCCCGUACACAAAAGCGCAUGUGCUGUGAGCUCGAUGAGUAGGGCGGGACACGUGGUAUCCUGUCUGAAUAUGGGGGGACCAUCCUCCAAGGCUAAAUACUCCUGACUGACCGAUAGUGAACCAGUACCGUGAGGGAAAGGCGAAAAGAACCCCGGCGAGGGGAGUGAAAAAGAACCUGAAACCGUGUACGUACAAGCAGUGGGAGCCCCACCACUAAGCCAGUGGUGAACUCCACAUACGCAUCCUUUGCUGAAGGCAAUGGUUAACGGAGCGAAAGCGACGUUCAACCGCAAAACAAGCAGAGGGGGCUUAGUGGUGGGGUGACUGCGUACCUUUUGUAUAAUGGGUCAGCGACUUAUAUUCUGUAGCAAGGUUAACCGUAUAGGGGAGCCGGAGGGAAACCGAGUCUUAAUUGGGCGUUAAGUUGCAGGGUAUAGACCCGAAACCCGGUGAUCUAGCCAUGGGCAGGUUGAAGGUUGGGUAACACUAACUGGAGGACCGAACCGACUAAUGUUGAAAAAUUAGCGGAUGACCUGUGGCUGGGGGUGAAAGGCCAAUCAAACCGGGAGAUAGCUGGUUCUCCCCGAAAGCUAUUUAGGUAGCGCCUCGUGAAUUCAUCUCCGGGGGUAGAGCACUGUUUCGGCUAGGGGGCCAUCCCGGCUUACCAACCCGAUGCAAACUGCGAAUACCGGAGAAUGUUAUCACGGGAGACACACGGCGGGUGCUAACGUCCGUCGUGAAGAGGGAAACAACCCAGACCGCCAGCUAAGGUCCCAAAGUCAUGGUUAAGUGGGAAACGAUGUGGGAAGGCCCAGACAGCCAGGAUGUUGGCUUAGAAGCAGCCAUCAUUUAAAGAAAGCGUAAUAGCUCACUGGUCGAGUCGGCCUGCGCGGAAGAUGUAACGGGGCUAAACCAUGCACCGAAGCUGCGGCAGCGA